CAGGGAGACAACAAAAUGUUUAAUAUUAUUAUUUUGUCACCUUAGGUCGAUCGGUAUCUCACGUUUUUAAUUUAUUAAGAAUUUCAUUUCCUAAGUUUUUCUAGGUCACACCCAUUAUUUUUCCUGGGCCAUUAGCUCAGGUGGUUAGAGCGCACCCCUGAUAAGGGUGAGGUCCCUGGUUCAAGUCCAGGAUGGCCCAUACUCUAUGUUGGGGGUAUAGCUCAGUUGGUAGAGCGCCUGCUUUGCAAGCAGGAUGUCAGCGGUUCGAGUCCGCUUACCUCCACUGAUUACCACCUCUUCCAUAAUCUGUAGAAAGGAAAUGUUUUGAGUUGUGAUCAAAUUCUGAACGAUUCUAGCUUCCUAAUGAAAACAUUAAGAUGCUGGACUCAUUGAAUUAAUUUCAUUGUUUUCAGAGAACCUUGACAACUGCAUAGAUUAUUUUAAAGACAAUAAGCAUCUUUAAUGAUGCAGAUUUAUUAUUUUUGCAAAUGCAUUAAUAACAAUUCUAUUAAGCUGAUGCUUCAAUUAUGAAGUUAUU
rnacentral:tRNA from 1 species